UACGAAGGGGGCUAGCGUUGCUCGGAAUCACUGGGCGUAAAGGGCGCGUAGGCGGCGUUUUUAAGUCGGGGGUGAAAGCCUGUGGCUCAACCACAGAAUGGCCUUCGAUACUGGGACGCUUGAGUAUGGUAGAGGUUGGUGGAACUGCGAGUGUAGAGGUGAAAAUUCGUAGAUAUUCGCAAGAACACCGGUGGCGAAGGCGGCCAACUGGCCCGGUACUGACGCUGAGGUGCGAAAGCGUGGGGAGCAAACAGG
rnacentral:rRNA from 1 species